UCGUGCCCCCGUAUGCAUUUGAUUUGGAGAAGCAAGCACAAAGCAAAAACUGACCUUUGAAUGUUCGGUCUUUUAAACACUGAGAAAUUACUGCUGGUAGUUAAGUACGAUUUCAACUGACCCCCAAAUGAGAAAGAAUUCCUAAUACGCCCGACGGCGGCUAAGAAAAAUGAGAUGUUCCCAUUCAUCCCUAAGCCCAUCGCUUAGCUUCUUAAUAAUUAAGAACUCUGCUCUCCGCCACGGAACUAUCCCUUGCAGGGAGGCUGAAGCAAGAAGAAAUCGCCAUUGCCCAUUCUUCCCUUUUGAUUCACCCUAUCUCCAGUCGCCCUCCAGCCCAGAUGUGAGACAAUCCACAGUGCCCAUUAAAGAUCUGAUAACCCUGAAACUAAGCCCCGUGGCAAUGAAGCCCAGCCAGGCGUAAACUUGAUGACUUGACUUGAUGACUGAGGCGUAAACUCAAGAAUGGAAGAGGAAAGGAAGAGAAGAAAAAAGAAAAGCCAAUGACCUCACCUUAUGGGAACUGCUGCUAUACUUAGUUUAUACCCACUAUGAGCCCUUCAUCUUACCGUCCUGAUGCGCUCAGGAUUAUUUCAUGUAGGUCGCUCUUAUCUCUAAUCAGAUGGUAAGUUCCAUGAGGGUAACCUCAUUAUUUCAUUCUCUCAUUUCCUCUCCCCGUGAUGCCCAGCACAGUGCUGAACACGUUGGAA